AGUGAACGCUGGCGGUAGGCCUAACACAUGCAAGUCGAACGGCAGCACAGUAAGAGCUUGCUCUUACGGGUGGCGAGUGGCGGACGGGUGUGGAAUACAUCGGAAUCUACUUUUUCGUGGGGGAUAACGUAGGGAAACUUACGCUAAUACCGCAUACGACCUACGGGUGAAAGCAGGGGAUCUUCGGACCUUGCGCGAUUGAAUGAGCCGAUGUCGGAUUAGCUAGUUGGCGGGGUAAAGGCCCACCAAGGCGACGAUCCGUAGCUGGUCUGAGAGGAUGAUCGGCCACACUGGAACUGAGACACGGUCCAGACUCCUACGGGAGGCAGCAGUGGGGAAUAUUGGACAAUGGGCGCAAGCCUGAUCCAGCCAUACCGCGUGGGUGAAGAAGGCCUUCGGGUUGUAAAGCCCUUUUGUUGGGAAAGAAAAGCAGCAGGUUAAUACCCCGCUGUUCUGACGGUACCCAAAGAAUAAGCACCGGCUAACUUCGUG
rnacentral:rRNA from 1 species